rfam:Oryza glumipatula chromosome 11, whole genome shotgun sequence.
UGUAAGUGCAACCAUGAGUUUUUGUGCCUAAAUUUGAUCAUCCGUCCUAUUGGAAUUUUUUUUAUAGUUAUGAGAUGAUAAAACAUGAAUAGCACUUUAUGCGUGACUUAUGUUUUUAAUUUUUUUUCAAAUAAGACAGACGAUCAAAGUUGAGCACGGAAAAUCAUGGCUGCACUUAAA